rnacentral:tRNA from 1 species
GAGAUGUUAGUAAAACAAUUACAUAGUCUUGUCAUGACUAAAUUGCAGGCGAAACUCCUGCACAUCUCU